rnacentral:piRNA from 1 species
UNGGAAGGAACUCAAUGCUGUUUAACCCAG